rnacentral:rRNA from 1 species
GAUGAACGCUAGCUACAGGCUUAACACAUGCAAGUCGAGGGGCAGCAUGGUCUUAGCUUGCUAAGGCCGAUGGCGACCGGCGCACGGGUGAGUAACACGUAUCCAACCUGCCGUCUACUCUUGGACAGCCUUCUGAAAGGAAGAUUAAUACAAGAUGGCAUCAUGAGUCCGCAUGUUCACAUGAUUAAAGGUAUUCCGGUAGACGAUGGGGAUGCGUUCCAUUAGAUAGUAGGCGGGGUAACGGCCCACCUAGUCUUCGAUGGAUAGGGGUUCUGAGAGGAAGGUCCCCCACAUUGGAACUGAGACACGGUCCAAACUCCUACGGGAGGCAGCAGUGGGGAAUAUUGGUCAAUGGGCGAGAGCCUGAACCAGCCAAGUAGCGUGAAGGAUGACUGCCUAUGGGUUGUAAACUGCUUUAUAAGGGAAUAAGUGAGUCUCGUGAGGC